rnacentral:rRNA from 1 species
GCACAAGCGGUGGAGUAUGUGGUUUAAUUCGAUGCAACGCGAAGAACCUUACCUGGUCUUGACAUCCCGGAGACCCUUAGGAAACUAGGGGGUGCUUCCAUCUGGAAAGAAUCUGGAGACAGGUGCUGCAUGGCUGUCGUCAGCUCGUGUCGUGAGAUGUUGGGUUAAGUCCCGCAACGAGCGCAACCCUUGCCUUUAGUUGCCAGCAGUUCGGCUGGGCACUCUAAAGGGACUGCCGGUGUUAAACCGGAGGAAGGUGGGGAUGACGUCAAGUCCUCAUGGCCUUUAUGGCCAGGGCUACACACGUACUACAAUGGCCGAUACAAAGGGCAGCGACACUGCGAGGUGAAGCCAAUCCCGUAAAAUCGGUCUCAGUCCGGAUUGGAGUCUGCAACUCGACUCCAUGAAGUUGGAAUCGCUAGUAAUCGCGCAUCAGCCAUGGCGCGGUGAAUACGUUCCCGGGCCUU